rnacentral:rRNA from 1 species
AUUGAACGCUGGCGGCAGGCCUAACACAUGCAAGUCGAACGGUAACAGGAAGCAGCUUGCUGCUUUGCUGACGAGUGGCGGACGGGUGAGUAAUGUCUGGGAAACUGCCUGAUGGAGGGGGAUAACUACUGGAAACGGUAGCUAAUACCGCAUAACGUCGCAAGACCAAAGAGGGGGACCUUAGGGCCUCUUGCCAUCGGAUGUGCCCAGAUGGGAUUAGCUAGUAGGUGGGGUAACGGCUCAACUAGGCGACGAUCCCUAGCUGGUCUGAGAGGAUGACCAGCCACACUGGAACUGAGGCACGGUCCAGACUCCUAAGGGAGGCAGCAGUGGGGAAUAUUGCACAAUGGGCGCAAGCCUGAUGCAGCAAUGCCGCGUGUAUGAAGAAGGCCUUCGGGUUGUAAAGUACUUUCAGCGGGGAGGAAGGGAGUAAAGUUAAUACCUGUGCUCAUUGACGGUACCCGCAGAAGAAGCACCGGCUAACUCCGUG